rnacentral:rRNA from 1 species
GACGAACGCUGGCGGCGUGCCUAAUACAUGCAAGUCGAGCGAAGCGGCGGAUGGGUGAAUAACGCGUGGGUAACCUGCAUUUAAGUUUGGGAUACCAGUUGGUAACAGAUGCUAAUACCGGAUACUAAAGGAUGGACCUGCGUUGCAUUAGCUAGUUGGUAAGGUAACGGCUUACCAAGGCGAUGAUGCAUAGCCGAGCUGAGAGACUGAUCAGCCACAUUGGGACUGAGACACGGCCCAAACGCCUACGGGAGGCAGCAGUGGGGAAUCUUCCACAAUGGACGCAAGUCUGAUGGAGCAACGCCGCGUGAGUGAAGAAGGUUUUCGGAUCGUAAAGCUCUGUUGUUGGUGAAGCGGUAAUCAACCAGAAAGUCCCGGCUAACUACGUGCCAGCAGCCGCGGUAAUUC